rnacentral:rRNA from 1 species
GAUGAACGCUGGCGGCGUGCCUAAUACAUGCAAGUCGAGCGAAUGGAUUAAGAGCUUGCUCUUAUGAAGUUAGCGGCGGACGGGUGAGUAACACGUGGGUAACCUGCCCAUAAGACUGGGAUAACUCCGGGAAACCGGGGCUAAUACCGGAUAACAUUUUGAACCGCAUGGGUCGAAAUUGAAAGGCGGCUUCGGCUGUCACUUAUGGAUGGACCCGCGUCGCAUUAGCUAGUUGGUGAGGUAACGGCUCACCAAGGCAACGAUGCGUAGCCGACCUGAGAGGGUGAUCGGCCAAACUGGGACUGAGACACGGCCCAGACUCCUACGGAAGGCAGCAGUAGGGAAUAUUCCGCAAUGGACGAAAGUCUGACGGAGCAACGCCGCGUGAGUGAUGAAGGCUUUCGGGUCGUAAAACUCUGUUGUUAGGGCAGAACAAGUGCUAGUUGAAUAAGCUGGCACCUUGACGGUACCUAACCAGAAAGCCACGGCUAACUACGUGCCAGCCGCCGCAGUAA